UACGUAGGGGGCUAGCGUUGUCCGGAAUCAUUGGGCGUAAAGCGCGCGUAGGCGGCCCGGUAAGUCCGCUGUGAAAGUCGGGGGCUCAACCCUCGACUGCCGGUGGAUACUGUCGGGCUAGAGUGCGGAAGAGGCGAGUGGAAUUCCUGGUGUAGCGGUGAAAUGCGCAGAUAUCAGGAGGAACACCAAUUGCGAAGGCAGCUCGCUGGGACGGAACUGACGCUGAGACGCGAAAGCGUGGGGAGCAAACAGG
rnacentral:rRNA from 1 species